rnacentral:rRNA from 1 species
GGAUUAGAUACCCUGGUAGUCCACGCCGUAAACGAUGUGUGCUAGACGUCGGGUGUUCGGCAUUCGGUGUCGCAGCUAACGCAUUAAGCACACCGCCUGGGGAGUACGGCCGCAAGGUUAAAACUCAAAGGAAUUGACGGGGGCCCGCACAAGCGGUGGAGCAUGUGGUUUAAUUCGACGCAACGCGCAGAACCUUACCAGCCCUUGACAUCCCGGUCGCGGGGAGUGGAGACACACCCUUUCAGUUCGGCUGGACCGGAGACAGGUGCUGCAUGGCUGUCGUCAGCUCGUGUUG